AUAAUACUCCCUCCGUCCGGAAUUACUUGUCAUCAAAAUGGAUGUGUCUAGAACUAAAAUACAUCUAGAUACAUCCAUUUCAAUGAUAAGUAUUUUCGGACGGAGGGAGUAGUAG
rnacentral:pre_miRNA from 1 species